AUGGACAUAGUGCUUCAGUGGAAGGUGGUAUUUCUUGAAGGAAGCACUCCAUCUUCUGUGCCAGCCCCUGCUGCAGGAAGGAAGGCAAAGCCAGACACGGGCACAGGCACAGCAGACUGGGAUGCUGGGAAGGAUUCUCCAUUAGCCUGGCGCUCUGAAGUUGUGAAGCCCUCUGAGCAUUCUGCAGGCGUGUCUGCAGGGACGACCUCACCAACUCCUACCUUGGAUGCUGCACAAAAGGCCAGCUCCCAUGGCAGGGGUCCUCUGACAGGAGAGACCAAAGACAUGGCAGGCAGGAAAUUCCAGGACCCAUUAGAAAUCAUGUGG